AUUGAACGCUGGCGGAAUGCUUUACACAUGCAAGUCGAACGGUAGAGGGGGCAACCCCUCGAGAGUGGCGAACGGGUGAGUAAUAUAUCGGAACGUGCCUAGUCGUGGGGGAUAACGUAGCGAAAGUUACGCUAAUACCGCAUACGAUCUAAGGAUGAAAGCGGGGGAUCGCAAGACCUCGCGCGAUUGGAGCGGCCGAUAUCAGAUUAGGUAGUUGGUGGGGUAAAGGCUCACCAAGCCAACGAUCUGUAGCUGGUCUGAGAGGACGACCAGCCACACUGGAACUUAGACACGGUCCAGACUCCUACGGGAGGCAGCAGUGGGGAAUUUUGGACAAUGGACGCAAGUCUGAUCCAGCCAUUCCGCGUGCAGGAUGAAGGCCCUCGGGUUGUAAACUGCUUUUGUACGGAACGAAAAGGUCUCUCUUAAUACGGGGGGCUCAUGACGGUACCGUAAGAAUAAGCACCGGCUAACUACGUGCCAGCCGCCGCAGUAA
rnacentral:rRNA from 1 species